UGGCAGGACAGGAGGCUUCAUAUUUGCAAUUUUAACGCCCAAAUAGUAGAACCAGAAGCAAUAUGAGAGAGGACUGAAAUAAAGGAGAAUGGAAAAACGGAUUCCCUAAACCAAGCAGCGGUGUAGAGAAAAGGCAGAAGGGACCCAACGGCUUCCAAAAUUGUUGAGGUGACACCACCCCGAACCAAAAGUGUCCCAGAGGAACUCAAGGUCAGUCAAUGAGAGGAUCCACCAAAUCCAACGGGCGAGCGAAGAUGCAGAAACAGUCCAAAACGGCCGUACGCAGAAAUAAACAGCUGUCCAUGAGUAGACGGACGAAAGAACCAGAUCCUGGAUCUACAUGGUCGUGUACAAUCUGUCAGAGCCAUGGCCUAUCCGGAGAAUAGGGGUACGACACAGAGGACGAAUAAAAAUGAAAUAUGUGUGGAGCAGAAGCCGAUGUACUGAACGGCAAGAAGGAAGAAGACACGUCGAUACCAUGACGUCAGAACACGAUGAAAUACAAGAUGUACUGGGGGGAAACCGUAAGCGGGAAAAAAUGGUGCACCUUGUCAUCAGGUCAUUCCUCAAUGAAAUGCAGAACAUACGAUACCACUAGACUUGAGGAAUAGUGAGAGAUAGGGCUCCCGUACGGUAUACUCCUCUUGGUAGACUGCAGACCAAGAGAUCCUUAGCAAUGCCAGAAUCUUGAGAAAAUGCACAUGAGUCGUCCACUAGCUGACAUAGGACGUGAAUGGCCCCAUACGAUUCUACCCUGAGAGGGCAACUCAGCCAGACAAUGGGGACAGCCAUGAUAAGGACCGCCAUUGGGACCCAAACACCAGUCGUGGCAGGCUACCCCUGUGGAUCCCACAUAGGACAUUAAGAGACAGGGAGUCGUAGAUUGCCUUCCCAUGGCAAACUCCAGCAAAAAGGGGAAAGCACGCAGGACUCCUCCGAAGUGGUUUGGCCAGGCGAAACGACACACCAGGAAUUCGGCCUGAAGCAAAACCCAAAGUAUCCUGUAGGUAAACGGGAUGCGUACGCCCCGAAGGAGACCAAGCUUGGAAAACUCGUCCCUCGCCUCGCUGAGGGAGAACCGCUCCGUAUGGCGGUUUGCACCGAAUGUAAUCAUGCCAGUACUCGAGACCCUGGAGGGUGAGGCAACCAAUCAUUGGGGUCUCUCCAUGGUCGGGUGAAGCCGUCCGCCACACGAGUGUCUCGUCCCGUAUACAUUCUGUCACAAAUGACGAAUACUUGUCCAGAAGCUAUAGAUAGCGAUCCUAUGUGAGAUCCGACUGCAGUCCGUAGUGGGCAACCGGUGAGAAGUCCAUGCCAGAAGGUAGCGAGCAAUACUGUGAAUGUUGAACAAACCUGCAGGUGGUUCCAUGCAGUUGGCGUAAAGGAGUCCCUCCUCCGGAGUCAUCAAUUAAGUUUUAGAUGAGCUUCAUCCGAAGGUCACAUGAUUUGGUCAUACCAGGCCGAAGACCCGAGAAAGCGCCAUGUUGGAGCGGCUGAUAGUACCGGAUCCUGGAGGUAUGGCUUCCAUGGCGAAUAGGCACCGGUCAAUUAACCGGUUUGGGCCCCUAAGUGUAACCCCGCGGGUUGCAGAGCAUAUACCUGGUAUUUUCCUUGAAGAUGGACAUCUUGGUCCUCGGGAGGUGGAGCACCGCCUGGACCGAAUAUUCCAUGAAAGACCGGAAACUGGGUUGACUGGGAGUGAGUCAGAUUCAAUAUGUCCAUGUUGAUGGCAAAAUCCAUGCGGGUUUCUCUCAUGUGCAUUUGAGGGAGAGAACCAAUCGUCAACGCCAAGCAGCUCUCAGAGGGGAUGAGUGCCCUCCGUCUCAAAAUGUGUCAACAGACGACAUAUGCACUGGGAGCAUGUAGCGUGGGGAUGGGGCGGGAGUCCACUCCACCGCACCCUUUGCCCAGCAGGGCAACUGCGGAAUUAGUCGGAAUGGAUGCCUCUUUUGGUCAUGCGUAUCGCUCAUGGAACGGUCCAAGGUUCCGCAACCUUGAUCUGGAGUCCAGGCACGGUCGGAGAGACCUCUGGGGUUAGUUAAGGGGGAACCCUAUGAAUAGAGACGUGUCAGCUCAAUUUGUACACUAGGGUAACUCCGGAGAGCAGACCCAGCACUUGGAUGCUAAAUCCUUCAGUUUGAUGUCCAGCUUGGACAGGGGCCGUUUUGCGGUUCUCAGGGGUAGAAACCAACUAGGCGAUACCUAUAAGACAUAUCGGUCCAUUCCCAGUGGGAACUUAGUCUUCUCCGCUUUCCAAGCGGUAAUGCGCCGUUCGUCCCGAGGAAACAUCUGUGUCCGCGUGUCACCGACAUCCACUGGUUAGUCCCAGAUAGAGUGCAAACCCCGUGUCAGGUGUUUGCGGUGUCCUUUCCGGACUCCAUCAUGAAGACUGAUCCUCUUGAUGAAUCCACCCGUUAGCCAACGAGUACCAGGGGUGCUUGGUGUAGCGUCUAGGAUGGCCGGUGGAGUGUCCCCGUAGGGUACCGAUGGUUUCUGGCGGUGAGGUCAGCGGGGCGGCAAGAGGACAGGCCAAGUGACCUUCUGGGUACGAGAGAUUUGUCCUUCAGCCGUGAUUGCACAACUGCCAUAGAGGUAACACUGUCGGAAUGAUACCUUGUGCGGCCAGCUGGGGGUCACCCAGCGUGCAAGAGGGGGUCACCCAACAAGCACAAGCAUACCAUGCAGUAUAGGCCUGCAGGGGAGGGG